UACGAAGGGGGCUAGCGUUGUUCGGAAUUACUGGGCGUAAAGCGCACGUAGGCGGAUUGUUAAGUCAGGGGUGAAAUCCCGGGGCUCAACCCCGGAACUGCCUUUGAUACUGGCAUUCUCGAGUCCGGAAGAGGUGAGUGGAAUUCCGAGUGUAGAGGUGAAAUUCGUAGAUAUUCGGAGGAACACCAGUGGCGAAGGCGGCUCGCUGGUCCGGUACUGACGCUGAGGUGCGAAAGCGUGGGGAGCAAACAGG
rnacentral:rRNA from 1 species